GGGUUAGGGUUAGGGUUAGGGUUGGAGUUAGGGUUAGUGUUGGAGCUAGGGUUAGGGUUGGGCUUGGAGCUAGGAUUUUUCUGAGUGCAAUGAACCAACUCCCGAGUCUCUAGGACGUUCCUAAAAAAAUUUGAUUUUUUCCCAUAGGAAUGCAUGGGUUAGGGUUAGGGUUAGGGUUGGAGCUAGGGUUAGGGUUAGGGUUAGGGUUGGAGUUAGGGUUAGUGUUGGAGCUAGGGUUAGGGUUGGGCUUGGAGCUAGGAUUUUUCUGAGUGCACUGAACCAACUCCCGAGUCUCUAGGACAUUCCUAAAAAAAAUUGAUUUUUUCCCAUAGGAAUGCAUGGGUUAGGGUUAUGGUUAGGGUUAGGGUUGGAGCUAGGGUUAGGGUUAGGGUUAGGGUUGGAGUUAGGGUUAGUGUUGGAGCUAGGGUUAGGGUUGGGCUUGGAGCUAGGACUUUUCUGAGUGCAAUGAACCAACUCCCGAGUCUCUAGGACGUUCCCUAAAAAAAUUUGAUUUUUUCCCAUAGGAAUGCAUGGGUUAGGGUUAGGGUUAGGGUUGGAGCUAGGGUUAGGGUUAGGGUUAGGGUUGGAGUUAGGGUUAGUGUUGGAGCUAGGGUUAGGGUUGGGCUUGGAGCUAGGAUUUUUCUGAGUGCACUGAACCAACUCCCGAGUCUCUAGGACAUUCCUAAAAAAAUUUGAUUUUUUCCCAUAGGAAUGCAUGGGUUAGGGUUAUGGUUAGGGUUAGGGUUGGAGCUAGGGUUAGGGUUAGGGUUAGGGUUGGAGUUAGGGUUAGUGUUGGAGCUAGGGUUAGGGUUGGGCUUGGAGCUAGGAUUUUUCUGAGUGCAUGAACCAACUCCCGAGUCUCUAGGACGUUCCUAAAAAAAUUUGAUUUUUUCCCAUAGGAAUGCAUGGGUUAGGGUUAUGGUUAGGGUUGGAGCUAGGGUUAGGGUUAGGGUUAGGGUUGGAGUUAGGGUUAGUGUUGGAGCUAGGGUUAGGGUUGGGCUUGGAGCUAGGAUUUUUCUGAGUGCACUGAACCAACUCCCGAGUCUCUAGGACAUUCCUAAAAAAAUUUGAUUUUUUCCCAUAGGAAUGCAUGGGUUAGGGUUAGGGUUAGGGUUGGAGCUAGGGUUAGGGUUAGGGUUAGGGUUGGAGUUAGGGUUAGUGUUGGAGCUAGGGUUAGGGUUGGGCUUGGAGCUAGGAUUUUUCUGAGUGCAAUGAACCAACUCCCGAGUCUCUAGGACGUUCCUAAAAAAAUUUGAUUUUUUCCCAUAGGAAUGCAUGGGUUAGGGUUAGGGUUAGGGUUGGAGCUAGGGUUAGGGUUAGGGUUAGGGUUGGAGUUAGGGUUAGUGUUGGAGCUAGGGUUAGGGUUGGGCUUGGAGCUAGGAUUUUUCUGAGUGCACUGAACCAACUCCCGAGUCUCUAGGACAUUCCUAAAAAAAUUUGAUUUUUUCCCAUAGGAAUGCAUGGGUUAGGGUUAUGGUUAGGGUUAGGGUUGGAGCUAGGGUUAGGGUUAGGGUUAGGGUUGGAGUUAGGGUUAGUGUUGGAGCUAGGGUUAGGGUUGGGCUUGGAGCUAGGACUUUUCUGAGUGCAAUGAACCAACUCCCGAGUCUCUAGGACGUUCCCUAAAAAAAUUUGAUUUUUUCCCAUAGGAAUGCAUGGGUUAGGGUUAGGGUUAGGGUUGGAGCUAGGGUUAGGGUUAGGGUUAGGGUUGGAGUUAGGGUUAGUGUUGGAGCUAGGGUUAGGGUUGGGCUUGGAGCUAGGAUUUUUCUGAGUGCACUGAACCAACUCCCGAGUCUCUAGGACAUUCCUAAAAAAAUUUGAUUUUUUCCCAUAGGAAUGCAUGGGUUAGGGUUAGGGUUAGGGUUGGAGCUAGGGUUAGGGUUAGGGUUAGGGUUGGAGUUAGGGUUAGUGUUGGAGCUAGGGUUAGGGUUGGGCUUGGAGCUAGGAUUUUUCUGAGUCCAGUGAACCAACUCCCGAGUCUCUAGGACAUUCCUAAAAAAAUUUGAUUUUUUCCCAUAGGAAUGCAUGGGUUAGGGUUAGGGUUAGGGUUGGAGCUAGGGUUAGGGUUAGGGUUAGGGUUGGAGUUAGGGUUAGUGUUGGAGCUAGGGUUAGGGUUGGGCUUGGAGCUAGGAUUUUUCUGAGUGCACUGAACCAACUCCCGAGUCUCUAGGACAUUCCUAAAAAAAUUUGAUUUUUUCCCAUAGGAAUGCAUGGUUUAGGGUUAUGGUUAGGGUUAGGGUUGGAGCUAGGGUUAGGGUUAGGGUUAGGGUUGGAGUUAGGGUUAGUGUUGGAGCUAGGGUUAGGGUUGGGCUUGGAGCUAGGACUUUUCUGAGUGCAAUGAACCAACUCCCGAGUCUCUAGGACGUUCCAAAAAAAAAUUUGAUUUUUUCCCAUAGGAAUGCAUGGGUUAGGGUUAGGGUUAGGGUUGGAGCUAGGGUUAGGGUUAGGGUUAGGGUUGGAGUUAGGGUUAGUGUUGGAGCUAGGGUUAGGGUUGGGCUUGGAGCUAGGAUUUUUCUGAGUGCACUGAACCAACUCCCGAGUCUCUAGGACGUUCCUAAAAAAAUUUGAUUUUUUCCCAUAGGAAUGCAUGGGUUAGGGUUAGGGUUAGGGUUGGAGCUAGGGUUAGGGUUAGGGUUAGGGUUGGAGUUAGGGUUAGUGUUGGAGCUAGGGUUAGGGUUGGGCUUGGAGCUAGGAUUUUUCUGAGUGCACUGAACCAACUCCCGAGUCUCUAGGACAUUCCUAAAAAAAUUUGAGUUUUUCCCAUAGGAAUGCAUGGGUUAGGGUUAGGGUUAGGGUUGGAGCUAGGGUUAGGGUUAGGGUUAGGGUUGGAGUUAGGGUUAGUGUUGGAGCUAGGGUUAGGGUUGGGCUUGGAGCUAGGA